AAGCGAGUCUGAAUAGGGCGCAUGAGUACGUGGUCGUAGACCCGAAACCAGGUGAUCUACCCAUGUCCAGGGUGAAGUUCAGGUAACACUGAAUGGAGGCCCGAACCCACGCACGUUGAAAGUGCGGGAUGAGGUGUGGGUAGGGUGAAUGCCAAUCGAACCUGGAGAUAGCUGGUUCUCUCCGAAAUAGCUUUAGGGCUAGCCUCAAGGUAAGAGUCUUGGAGGUAGAGCACUGAUUGGACUAGGG
rnacentral:rRNA from 1 species